rnacentral:lncRNA from 1 species
GAUUUCCCCCACAAAGCCAAGUACUUGCUUAGUAAUGGUAUAGGAACAAGAAUAAGGAGGAAAGAAUAAAUUAUAUAUCUGUUUAUUAUCUAUCCAUCUGUCUAUGUCUCCAGCUGCUCAGUACAGUAUGUUUGGCAAAAAAGAAUGUACUUGUUUAUAAUGUUCAAUUUUCUCAGAAAUAUGGAAUAUUGUGUUUGUGUGUAUAUACUGAAAGACAAUGUUACUUUACUUGUGUUGCCUUAAGAUAAACCAAAUGAAAAAAUUGUACCUCUUAAGAGCCAAGAUAUCCUACACUCAAGGACAGCUCUGAUCCAUUAUAUUCAUGCCAAUUCUGCAUCUUUUGUGAAGCAAGAAUAAAACAUGUAUUUACAAUGAUGCUCAAAAACCAAGAACACCAGCUCUAAGCAGAAUAUUUACUGGAAACUAAAAACAGAUUGGGAAUUUUGCUUAUCAUUCUGUUUUCCAGCUCUGAAUCCCAAGAGAAACUUAGGCCAGAUCCCAAGCACUGAGCUGUGCCAAAAUAAACUAACACCAAACCCAUUGGUUAGUACAAGGUCUAGGUUCUUUCUGCAAAGCUUAAUAAGGAAGAGAGUGAAAUAACUGCAGAACAAAGGAAGGGAAAUACCAAAAUGAAGACUCAGAAAAGACAGUCCCUCCAAAAAUGAGUUUAUUAUAACAUUGAGAGAAAAGUUGUUUCUCCUUGGCAUCCUUGACAUGAAAACCCAUCAUGACUGAUCUGGAUAAGGUAGAAAGGGAGAAGAAUGAGAUAAAGAAGUAUACCAAGGCUCGAGAAAAAGAUGGUGGAUAGAUGAGGGACCCUGAGACCUUGAGCUCCACAAUUUCAGAAAAAUACUUUAGAUUCAUGGUAGAAAGGACUGGGUAAACCUGUUUGCUUGUUUUUUCCAACUAAAAUUUUGCCAGUACAUAGGAUGCACAUAAUGUUCAAGGGCUGACCCUUGAAUUAGUUUUUGUAGCACAUAGUAGCUUGGAAACCCAGAGUUCAGACUGGUAGCAGAAGUGCUGGAAAGCCUUUCUCCUGUUUCAUUUGUUCUGAGUCCUGCAAGCAUCCUGGAUCUGCCAUAAUUCAUGGACAUGGAACAUGGCUGUGUGGCCAGAGUUGAGUGAAACUACAAACUAACCAAGUGAGUGCAACAUGUAAUCUGCUCUGGAGGGAAGCACACGGUCCAGUGCAGCUGGUGGGCAAAUUGCACCCCUCCUCAACAAAACUGGUGGCCAAGUAAAUGGAGAGAACAUUUCACCUCUACCUCAUGGAGGUGGGACAGAACACUGAGAUGACCCAAGCUGUGUGGAGUUAGGGCAGUCUAAUGACUGCCUGGUGAAAAUAAAACAUUCCAGCACCUUGGAGAAACCA